GAGCAAUUCAACAGGGUCAACAACUUGACCAACCUGGGAUGAAAGGCCAAAGGCAAUUGCAUCCCAAACAAGCAAUGCUAGGAGUGGAACCAGACUACCAAUCAACACUGAAGCUCUUAUUCGUUUCAGAUCACCUUCCAAGAGCUAGAUCAUGGUAGACUAAAGAGAAUAUUAAUACGGGUAUGGUUGAUGGAACUUUUCCCCAAUCACUGCUUCCUUCAUGUCCUGACCACCCUCCAUAUAGAGUGGUUAGAACCUCAAUUGCCACAAGCAGUCCUGUUGGAUAAAUUUUAUUCAGAUGACCCUUUUUGCCUUCAUGGAUCAAAUUGAAAGGAAACAUUCAUCAUAGUUACCUAUCAUAAGAGCAGUGAGCCACUGGUUGACUUGAUCAGUGGUUUUUGUCCCACCUACAGAGAUGAGAAUUGUGAAGAGGGAAGUGAAGAAAAAGCCCAAAACUGAUUCCGGGAGAUUGAUCAAAUGACAGAGGAUUUCACCAGACUUGGAAAUGUAACCAAUCAUUGAAGUGUAUCCUAAGAAGACGUAGGUUACAGUAGCCAAGGCUCCACCCCAUUCUCCUAGUGUUUCUUCAGCGAUUGUUCUAAUAGAAAUGAUCUCUAGUUCACUGUCUUCAAAGUUCACUUUGUUCUUUCUGAGUAAGCCCACAUUGAUUUCAACUAGCCCAAGUGCUUCAAUUAGUAGAAAUGCCCAACACAUUGUCAUAGCAAUUGACUUGGGAUUAUUCCCUGCAAUUAGUAGAAACUAGGCUUGUUAGUGCAUGUCGUAGUACUAGUCGUAACCUUGUAAUUCUGGCUAUAUGUUGUUUAUUGUGUUUCGAUUAUUACAGUAUUUUGCUGUUGUUAUUGUUCUUUCUUGUAGACAGUACACUGUUUUUCUUAUUAAUUGUUGUGCUUUCUUCAUUGUUUCUCA